rnacentral:sRNA from 1 species
UACCCCAUGAUGCUCAGGUCCGCCGCAUCUCCUGAAUCGUGGGGUCGGCCGACUGGCAAGCUAUAACAGCGGUUCCUCGUGCCGCAUGCAAGCUGGUCGGCCCCC